rnacentral:piRNA from 1 species
UGGGGAGCAAUUACAGUCACAUUUUGAC